UACAGACCAAGUUGUUAAGAGCUAUUGGCGGAUGCCUUGGCAUUGACAGGCGAUGAAGGAUGCGUUUACCUGCAGUAAUCUUCGGCGAGCUGGUAUAAAGCUAUGACCCGGAGGUAUCCGAAUGGGGCAACCCGGUAGAUUAAUCGUCUACCAUUAUAUGCUGAAUACAUAGGCAUAUAAAGCGACACCUGCUGAACUGAAACAUCUUAGUAAGCAGAGGAAAAUAAAUCAAAGAGAUUCCCUAAGUAGCGGCGAGCGAAAGGGGAGAAGACCAAACCACAUCAUUGGUGUGGGGUUGUAGGGUCGAUAACAUGAGAUCUUAAGUUUUAGUUGAAUACUUCUGGAAAGUAGAACGAUACAGGGUGAUAGUCCCGUAAGCGAAAGAACAAGAGACUCUAUUCGAUACCUGAGUAGGGCUAGACACGUGAAACCUAGUCUGAAUCUGGGGAGACCACUCUCCAAGUCUAAAUACUAGUCAAUGACCUAUAGUGAACCAGUACUGUGAAGGAAAGGUGAAAAGAACCCUUGUUAAGGGAGUGAAAUAGAACCUGAAACCAGUAGCUUAUAAGCGGUCGGAGACCUAUAGCUUCCUCGGAAGCGAUGGUUGACGGCGUGCCUUUUGCAUGAUGAGCCAGGGAGUUAAGUUAAACGGCGAGGUUAAGGGAUUUACAUUCCGGAGCCGAAGCGAAAGCGAGUUUUAAUAGAGCGUAUAGUCGUUUGAUUUAGACACGAAACCAAGUGAGCUAUUUAUGACCAGGUUGAAGCAUGGGUAAGACCUUGUGGAGGACCGAACCAGUACAUGUUGAAAAAUGUUUGGAUGAGUUGUGAAUAGGGGUGAAAGGCCAAUCAAACUUGGAGAUAUCUUGUUCUCUCCGAAAUAACUUUAGGGUUAGCCUCGGAUAUUAAGCUUUUGGGGGUAGAGCACUGAAUUCUAGCGGGGGCCUACCGGCUUACCAACGGAAAUCAAACUCCGAAUACCAAAAGCGAGUCCGGGAGAUAGACAGCGGGGGCUAAGCUUCGUUGUCGAGAGGGGAACAGCCCAGACCGCCGAUUAAGGUCCCAAAUUUUAUGCUAAGUGAGUAAGGAAGUGAUGAUUCUAAGACAGUUGGAAUGUUGGCUUAGAGGCAGCAAUCAUUUAAAGAGUGCGUAACAGCUCACCAAUCGAGAAUCAUCGCGCCAAUAAUAAUCGGGGCUCAAGCAUAAAACCGACAUCGCGGGUGUAUAUUUUAUAUAUACGCGGUAGGAGAGCGUAGUAUUCAGCAGCGAAGGUAUACCGUAAGGAGUACUGGAGCGGAUACUAGUGAAGAUCCAUGGCAUAAGUAACGAUAAAGGAAGUGAAAAUCUUCCUCGCCGUAAGCACAAGGUUUCCAGGGUCAAGCUCGUCUUCCCUGGGUUAGUCGGCCCCUAAGUCGAGGCACAAAUGCGUAGACGAUGGAGUAACAGGUUAAAUAUUCCUGUACCACCUAAAACUUUAGCAAUGGAAUGACGGAGUACGUUAAGCACGCGGACGAUUGGAAAUGUCCGUAUCACAAUGAGACUGGUUAGUAGGUAAAUCCGCUAACAUAAGGUUAGGUUGUGGUUAGGGGAAAUCUUCGGAGGAACUGAUAGUGUAGCGCAAUGCUUUCAAGAAAUAAUUUCUAGCUGUUGAUGGUGACCGUACCUAAACCGACACAGGUGUGCGAGAUGAGCAUUCUAAGGCGCGCGAGAUAACUUUCGUUAAGGAACUCGGCAAAUUAUCCCCGUAACUUCGGAAGAAGGGGAGCCUUCUAGGGUGAUUACCUUUACGGUAUGAGCUCCGGGAGGCCGCAGAGAAAUGGCCCAGGCGACUGUUUAACAAAAACACAGCACUAUGCAAACCUCUAAGGGGAAGUAUAUGGUGUGACGCCUGCCCAAUGCCAAAAGGUUAAAGGAAUAUGUCAGCCGUAAGGCAAAGCAUUGAACCCAAGCCCUGGUGAAUGGCCGCCGUAACUAUAACGGUCCUAAGGUAGCGAAAUUC
rnacentral:rRNA from 1 species